rnacentral:lncRNA from 1 species
CUGGCAAUGGUGGGGAAAAAGUUAUAAAAAUUGUCUCUGCACCAUCUUCCUUUUGUCCUCUAAAAUAUUCACAUUAGCAAAAGUAUAUAACAGCUGAUGAAGAAAUACUGAUAAUUUGUCUUUGGGACUAGCUUCAGUAUUUUGGCUUCUUUUUGCUUCUUUGCAACAAAUUGGGAGACAAAGCUUCUUUAAAAUAUGAAGACUUCGAAGUUAUUUAUCCAAACCAACCUGAUCAUUUCUUAAGAGUGAAUAUACCUUGGAAGACGUGUCCUGCCUUUAGUAGCGUCACAAUGGAUUACAUCCUCUAUAAAGCAGUCUGGGAGGCUAACAUCUGCCACAAGACAAAUAUGGUGCCUGCCCCCAUGGAGCUCAUAUUCGAAUGGAGAAAAUGUCAACAAGUAUCCCACGGAGUGAACACUUCAAAAGGAGAAGCACAGGUGAGAAAAUCGAAUUUGGACACCGUUGAGGAGACUAUUGCAGUCAUCCAAGCUCAAGAUGGUGGAGCUUCAUCCUUGAGAAUAACCAAUGGGGAUAGAUUUAAGAGACACUUAGAGUCUGCAGCCAACAGGGCUGAAUGAGCAGAGAGUUAUGAUUCAGAAGAUCAUCUAAAAUUGAACAGCUGCCACUACUGGCAAUAAGUCUACUGCCAUUUGGUAGAUAACCUUCUUAUCACACAGAAAAAUAUCAGUACAGACAAAUAGACCGCAAAGAAAAUGAGACCAUCAGCAAAGAAGAUAAAGAAGUUUGUACAAAGCAACUUUUUAUAAAUGGAUGGCUGUCAGGCAAAAAUAAAUUUCCUGUGGACAAGACCAAGAGCAAGGCAAGAGGAAAAUAAACAUGUUUAAAC